rnacentral:rRNA from 1 species
UUACAAUGGAGAGUUUGAUCCUGGCUCAGGAUGAACGCUAGCGGCAGGCCUAACACAUGCAAGUCGAGGGGUAACAGGAAAGCUUGCUUUUGCUGACGACCGGCGCACGGGUGCGUAACGCGUAUGCAACCUACCUCAUACUGGAGCAUAGCCCUUGGAAACGGGGAUUAAUACUCCAUGGUAUCAUGAAUUCGCAUGUUUUCAUGAUUAAAGAAUUUUGGUAUGAGAUGGGCAUGCGUCCCAUUAGCUAGUUGGUGAGGUAACGGCUCACCAAGGCGACGAUGGGUAGGGGGCCUGAGAGGGUGGUCCCCCACACUGGUACUGAGACACGGACCAGACUCCUACGGGAGGCAGCAGUG